ACUCGAACCAGAGAUAAAAAUCUUUGCUUUUUCCGCCAUGCGAAGUGUAUCUUCUUCCACCAUCUCCAUUUUCACCACCACCACAAACACAUGUACCACCAUCGUACCAUCUUCCUCUAAUGUCUUUCUCUACCACCAAAAACACAAACACCAACAUCAUCCACACCAACUCCACCAUUUCAAUCACAAAAAAAAAACCACCGCCCCCUCCAAAUCGGUAUUAUCAUCUUUCUCGACUAUAAUCAUCGGCAGCGGCAGCAUAAUAAAGAGUAAUUGUUUUUCAAAUGCCCUAAAUUAAUUUUAAAAAAUUCAAAUUUAUCAAACAAAGAGAAUUGAGGAAACAAAUAGCAGUUACUUGUGGUAUGGAGUGUCGAAACGGAUGGUGGUGUUGUAGAGUUAUGAAAGGCAAGCUUACGUGGCUUGAGUUCGAGUGGAAGUUGGUGUUGUUGCUAGAUGUGAAAUUAAUGGUGAUCGUGGAAGCAUGUGGGCUAGUGAUGGCAUCAUUUGUACUCGAUAUAUAAUGAACCGAAGUGCUGCUAACUAAGGGUAGAAGCCCUGAGUAGCUGCUGAAAUGGGAGCUCAUAAUUAUACUAUACUCAGUAUCAAUAGAUACAUUUUUACUUUUUUAAUAAAUUUAUUUUGUUUCGUUGUACAGACCACUUAAUCGUCUUACAUAUUCUUUGGCUCUGUAUGAUGUCAUAGCACAAAUAAUUAUAGACACAUGUUUCAAUU